rnacentral:rRNA from 1 species
CAGUCGCCGCGGUAACACGAAGGGUGCAAGCGUUAAUCGGAAUUACUGGGCGUAGAGCGUGCGUAGGCGGUUUGUUAAGUCUGUUGUGAAAUCCCCGGGCUCAACCUGGGAAUGGCAAUGGAUACUGGCAAGCUAGAGUGUGUCAGAGGAUGGUGGAAUUCCCGGUGUAGCGGUGAAAUGCGUAGAGAUCGGGAGGAACAUCAGUGGCGAAGGCGGCCAUCUGGGACAACACUGACGCUGAGGCACGAAAGCGUUGGGAGCAAACAGGAUUAGAUACCCCCGUAGUCCCUGUCUCUUAUAC